rnacentral:sRNA from 1 species
UGCAUCUGGGGCCUGUGAGGAUGAGAACCUCCGGGGGCAGGAGGUUCGACUCGAGCGAAGCGAGAGACGUUGCGUCAGCAACGGCCCGCAGGGCGAGCCACGAAGUGGUGAGUCAUCCUCUAUCACCGACCA